rnacentral:rRNA from 1 species
GUCGAACGCUGGCGGCAUGCCUAAUACAUGCAAGUAGAACGCAGUUGCGAACGGGUGAGUAAUGCGUAGGUAACGGCCUCGUAGCGGGGGAUAAGUAUUGGAAACCAUAGCUCAUACACCAUCCUGUGAGAUGGACAUGCGUUGUAUUAGGUAGUUGGUGAGGUAAAGGGCCACCAAGGCGACGAUACAGAGCCGACCUGAGAGGGUUAGUGCGCACACCGGGAAUGAGACAAGGCCCCGACUCCCACGGGAGGCAGCAGUAGGGAAACUUCGGCAAUGGACGGAAGUCUGACCGAACAACGCCGGGGGAGUGGAGAAAGUUUUCGGGUCGUAAAGCUCUGUUGUGAGAGAAGCGUUAACUACACAAAAAGGGACGGCUAACUACGUGCCAGCAGCCGCGGUAAUUC